AAAAGAAGGCAGGGGUGGGGAAGAAUAAAUCAUUAUGCAGCGCUCAACCUCCACAGGGAAACAGCAGUACAAACCCACAGAUCCAGAAUUGUCAAGCAAUGCGGCUGUUUGUUUACAAGUCACAGAAUCAGUUAUGUAACUAGAACAAAGGACAACACAUUAGCUAGUUCAGACCACUCAGGAUAGGAAAGAAGUCCUGCUGAAAAGAGGGAAAUCUCCCAGCAGUGAAAUGGCACAUGCUUCAUUAUCGAGGGAUGGAGAAAGAAGAUAAGUGUAACGUUUCUAUCUCCUGCCCACAUCAACUGAGGUGAUGGAAGAUGUGACUGUCCACGAGAAUUAAGGGUUCACAGGCAGCAAGAAACAAAUCCCCAACUAACUUUUUCCAACCCAGUAGGAUUUGUGCUUCCCAAGUGAACAUUACAUAUUGUUACCAAGUGAGAUUUAUCCUCAACCUGCAUGGAAUAUUGGCUUUGUGCCAGGUGUCUUACAGUGUUUGGGAGCAGGCAAGGAGGCCUCUACCUUGAUGGACACGCACAGUUACAGAGCCACAUCCUCAAACAGCUCAGCUACAUGGCUGGCUGAUGGGGGACUGGUCACCCUGGAAGAAGGA